ensembl:misc_RNA Metazoa_SRP Metazoan signal recognition particle RNA
GCCGGGCAUGGUGGUGCGCGCCUGUAAUCCCAGCUACUCAGGAGGCUGAGGCAGGAGAAUUGCUUGAACCCAGGAGGCGGAAGUUGCAGUCAGUGGAGAUCGCGCCACUGCACUCCAGCCUGGGCGACAGAGCAAGAUUCUGCCUCAA